rnacentral:rRNA from 1 species
AGCAGCCGCGGUAAUUCCAGCUCCAAUAGCGUAUAUUAAAGUUGUUGCAGUUAAAAAGCUCGUAGUUGAAUUUCGGGAUUGGCGCAUCGGUCGUGCCUCACGGGGUAUGAACUGGUGCAGUCAAUUUCUCACCUUCUGGAGAACCGCGAUGUCCUUAAUUGGGUGCCGCGGGGAACCAGGACCUUUACUUUGAAAAAUUAGAGUGUUUAAAGCAGGCAUUUUUGCUUGAAUACAUUAGCAUGGAAUAAUAAAAUAGGACGGCAUGGUUCUAUUUUGUCGGUUUCUAGGACCACCGUAAUGAUUAAUAGGGAUAGUUGGGGGCAUUAGUAUUCAAUUGUCAGAGGUGAAAUUCUUGGAUUUAUUGAAGACUAACUACUGCGAAAGCAUUUGCCAAGGAUGUUUUCAUUAAUCAAGAACGAAAGUUAGGGGAUCGAAGACGAUCAGAUACCGUCGUAGUCUUAACCAUAAACUAUGCCGACUAGGAAUCAGACGAUGUUAAUUUUUAAUGUACUACGUUUUG